AUUGAACGCUGGCGGCAGGCUUAACACAUGCAAGUCGAACGAGUGGCGGACGGGUGAGUAAUGCUUGGGAAUCUGGCUGAUGGAGGGGGAUAACUACGGGAAACUGUAGCUAAUACCGCAUACCAUCGGAUGAGCCCAGAUGGGAUUAGGUAGUUGGUGGGGUAAAGGCUCACCAAGGCGACGAUCCCUAGCUGGUCUGAGAGGAUGACCAGCCACACGGGGACUGAGAAACGGCCCAGACUCCUACGGGAGGCAGCAGUGGGGAAUAUUGCUCAAUGGGCGCAACCCUGAGGCAGCCAUGCCGCGUGAAUGAAGAAGGCCUUCGGGUUGUAAAGUACUUUCGGUGGGGAGGCGUUAACCGCAGAAGAAGCACCGGCUAACUCCGUGCCAGCAGCCGCGGUAAUAC
rnacentral:rRNA from 1 species